rnacentral:rRNA from 1 species
CCUACGGGUGGCAGCAGUGGGGAAUAUUGGACAAUGGGCGAAAGCCUGAUCCAGCCAUGCCGCGUGUGUGAAGAAGGCCUUCGGGUUGUAAAGCACUUUCAGUGGGGAAGAAAGCCUUGGGGCUAAUACCCUCGAGGAAGGACAUCACCCACAGAAGAAGCACCGGCUAACUCCGUGCCAGCAGCCGCGGUAAUACGGAGGGUGCGAGCGUUAAUCGGAAUUACUGGGCGUAAAGCGCGCGUAGGCGGUCUGAUAAGCCGGUUGUGAAAGCCCCGGGCUCAACCUGGGAACGGCAUCCGGAACUGUCAGGCUAGGGUGCAGGAGAGGAAGGUAGAAUUCCCGGGGUAGCGGUGAAAUGCGUAGAGAUCGGGAGGAAUACCGGUGGCGAAGGCGGCCUUCUGGACUGACACUGACGCUGAGGUGCGAAAGCGUGGGUAGCAAACAGGAUUAGAUACCCUUGUAGU